CCUACGGGAGGCAGCAGUGAGGAAUAUUGGUCAAUGGGCGCAAGCCUGAACCAGCCAAGUCGCGUGAGGGAUGACGGUCCUAUGGAUUGUAAACUUCUUUUGUCUGGGAGCAAAGUGCACCACGUAUGCCGCUUUGCAUGUACCUUACGAAAAAGCAUCGGCUAACUCCGUGCCAGCAGCCGCGGUAAUACGGAGGAUGCGAGCGUUAUCCGGAUUUAUUGGGUUUAAAGGGAGCGUAGGUGGGUUGUUAAGUCAGUUGUGAAAGUUUGCGGCUCAACCGUAAAAUUGCAAGUGAUACUGGCAGUCUUGAGUACAGGAGAGGUAGGCGGAAUUCGUGGUGUAGCGGUGAAAUGCUUAGAUAUCACGAAGAACUCCGAUUGCGAAGGCAGCUUGCUGAACUGUAACUGACACUGAUGCUCGAAAGUGUGGGUAUCAAACAGGAUUAGAUACCCGAGUAGUC
rnacentral:rRNA from 1 species